CCAGCACGGCUGUUGAACAUUAAUUUGUUUACUUUUAAUUUCGCUAGUGAUGAAAUGAGGAAUUUGAUUCUUCCAAAUAAAUUCCUUCCGUCUCUGUGAAUGUGUCCUGGUUUGAUGUGUUUUCCACUCAUCAUACGACACCUCCUCAGUCAGGUGUCUUUCGCAGUAAGACUCAGAUAACUUUUUCCCUUUAAGCUGAGAUGCGUUGCCGCUCUGAGGCUUCAGUCGUUUGCUGUCGUCUGUGUGGAUUUACACGUGUGUGUGCCCUGUGGCCACAAACAUAUGCUCACUGUUCACACGUACUUGUCUCUGUAUAUUAUAUUGAGCUUUGCAUUGGCUUUGCGAGCACAGCUGUGUAUUAUUCUGCGAGCAUGUGUAGUUUAGAUGGGGGGGGGGUGUAUUGGACGCGGUCCAGCCACAGCGAAGCCGUCGUUGCCAGUUUUGGAUGGCAUAUCACCAAGUUGGCAGCGACUGCUCUCACACUCAGAGGCCAGAGCAAGAAACAGAAUGGCAACUUUGUGAUGUGAACUGCUGCUGUGGAGUUGGUUGUUGCAUGUUGCCUGUGCAGUUAAAUGGCUGCAGUAUGAAGCUCGGGGGCUCCACCUCGCCACCGGUGAGAUUGACACCGCAAGACCAUGACCACGAAUUUAUGCAUGUUGUUAUCGAGCUCUUACAUGCAUGAAAUCAGCUCUGUUAUUUCCAGUUCUGCUCCACUUUGUCAGGAACAACAAUUGCGCCCAUCAGUCUGUGUCUUCCUGAUAAGAUAAGGAACACAGACCUCAUUAAUUCAAAAGAGACAUAUUGUUGAGAAACAAUCUGCUUAUGAAUAAAUACUAAUUAGUAUGUUUCCUGGUAGCAUGCUACACAUAGGGUUGCUAAUCUUUAGAAAUUCUGAGGCCAUUUUCUGUUUGCUUGUGUGAGUGUGUUUAAAUACAGUUAUUUACAGUGUGAUCCGGUUUGCUUGUUUUGCACUGCAUGUGUAUGUGUGUAUGUGUGUGUGUGUGUCCAUGUUUAUUUAUGCUCCGUGGCAAUGCAUACAUUUCUUGCUGGGCGGAGAGGAACAGAUGAACAAACAGUGAGCGAAGGAGGACCGGCCCGGAGGCUUUUGUGUGUGUGUGUGUGUGUGUUUGUGCGCGUAUACCAGAGAGUGAGAGGUAAUAACAAAAGCGUACUUUAUGUCCUGUUUCGGUCCACCUCCAGAGUUUGCUUUGUGGUUUUGGGUGGACGUAACUCCUGUUGAUGGCUGAGUCGUGUCAGCAGAGAUGUGUAGCCUCCCUCCUGCGCGACACAUAAAUCACUGCCUCCCCCACUGAGUGACUUUACACCAUGCGAACCCAUCACCCAGAAACAGCACUACACCCUGCAAAGAAACACCCAACAAAAGGAUCGGUGCGCAUUUCUCUAUUCACAUUCCUGUAACAUGCGAGCUGCAGCUGGUGGCUUUUCUAAUGAAAUUUUCAGACUGCUUGGAAACCAACCAAGCUGGUUACAAGAUGGCAUCCAACACCAGAACGUCAUCCUGGCUCAUAUAUGAGUGCGGUGCCCCCGGGGCAGCCCUGGAGCCAGGGUCAGGGUCUGGCACACUGGAGGGAAGUCAGAGCAUCAUCAGAGUCGGGAGGCCUCGCUGAAUGCUCAGAGCUGGCCGCUGCAGCCAUGCGAGCGUAAACACAUCGCGCCGCACACCGUGUUCGAAGCGGGUUGACAUCUGCAUAUGCUAAGAUGUAUGGCUUGACUGGCUGUGAAGAAGAAGAAAAAUGACGGAGAUAACACGAAAACAAAGAAAGCUUCAAAAACAUGUAAAUAUUAACACUGAGCCCUCCCAGAAACAAAAACAACUUCAGAUUGUUCUCGUUGUGAUGUUUUCAAGUACAGACGUGUCCGCGAUUGACAAAGCUUCACCAGGACGUUACAGUAAUGGCUUUAGUGCCUCCAGCUCUCCUCAGUGUCUUAGCCUGACAGUGGAUGGUAGUAAAGAAAGAGCAUGGAGAGUAAUUGCCAAGGGAAAAUAGCAGCAUUUAAAAAUAGACUGCCUGUUUAAACAGCAUGUAAAAUUAAGCAGGUUAUAGAUGUAUACUUCGAGCCACUUACAGUCACAAAGACCCUCUCUGUAUUUCUCCGUCAGCCUCCCAUUCCCUCCACCUCUCUUUUCUCCCUCCACUCUUCUACUAUAAUUCAGUCUUUAUCUCGCUCACGCUGAUUACUUCUUUUGCUAAGACAAUGACACAGGCUCACUCUAAAUGGCCAGUUAUGAGGAGAGAUGUGCUCACAACGUGCCAUCACCAAGGAAAUUAGCCUGUGUUUGUGAUUUAAUUUCAGAUGUUCGAGACUUAAUUACUUGUGUAUGUGUGUGUGUGUGUGUGUGUGUGUGUGUGUGUGUGUGUGUGUGUGUUUGUUUGUUUUUUUCUGGUUGUGUGCUUGCAGAUGUUUGUGUGUGUGACAUUGUGUGGCACUUUUGCACGUAUGAUCAAUUUUGAAAAAAAAAAAGGGGGUAUAUCACACGCGUGGGCACCAGUAAUGAUGAUACGGUACGGAUGAAGCUGAUGAAAAAGACAGUUUGACUUGGGUCCGUCUCCUGGAAACAAGAAAUGAGAGGUUUCUGGAAUUAGCAUGUUUAUUACAAAAUGGUGCAUCUUUGAAAUGAAUCUUUGUGUAAGUAGAUGGAAAAAAGGUUGUGACAAACAAGUUUCAACAUGAGAAAAAGAUGGGUGGUGAUCACAACAGCGAAGAUAAUGAAAAAAUUGGAUUCUGCGGUAGAUCUGGUCAUUUUCGGAGUCUAGUCAAGUUGAAGUACGAAGCCACCUGAUGUCACAAGUAAAUCCAUCUUUCCCGUACUUAAACUUUAUUUCAGCCUUAUUGCCAGAUGAGAUUAUUGAGCUGGAUGAUUCUGCAAAACCCUGGAUUAUAUUCAGUGACGACACGUUUACAAUUUCUUCUUUCUACAGUGUCUGAGCAUGGCAUCCGAGUGUGUUUUAAGAGCAACUUCUCACCUCCUGGAAAUCUAGCUUUUGCUCCCCUCCGGGGGAUCAACUUCGGCGUGCUGUAGUGAUGUGAGAGUACUUCAGGCUGCUGCAUGUUGUGGUCACUUCAAAUCAUUUUCAAAACAUUUUCAUUAAGCUGCUCUUGAGCGUUAGAGGAACAUUUGGUUAAAGCGUGUUAGUAUCCACAGUUAAGAAGCAGAGAAGUAUUAACUGUAUAUUCAGCCCCCUCACCUCAGCGCCUUUAAUCUCCACCUUGCUACAUGAAGUGCAACUGUCAAAUUGUGACCUUUUCAUUUUGUGCUAAGCAAUGUUCAUGCAGUGUUGGUUCUCUUCGUACUACCAGGCACACAGGAGCUUUAACGCUGGUUUGCUUUGAAUUGUUGUUGAAAUCUGUAAUCUGUAACCAUGGGAACCAGAUCAGAACCAGAUCAGAUCAUCAAUACUCGUUAAAGACACCGUAUUCAAAUUUGACAGAAACAAACUUCGAAUCACCAAAUCCAUCUUGCUUAGUCGGUCCAUUAUUCAGACAAUCACUAACUCCAGUUUGGUGGAACUGAACCCUAAGAAUAUUCUGGCUCCACAAGCUGUUUUUCCCCACUGUACAUUUGUAACGUCCGCUGAUUGACCUGUUGCCGGCUGUCCUGCUAACACAAGCCACCUGAAUCGUUACGUAAACAUUCUUUAGUUAGCUGUAGCUGUUGAAUGUGAAUGCUUUCUGCUUAAUGCUUCAAACCUCACUGAUCCGUCUCACUUUUACACUGACUCGUUUUGUGGACUGGCAGCCAAAACAAAGAGCAGAGAAGCUCAGACACGCACAGAGGGAGGGUGACUUUUAAACGGGAUGCCAUUACCCUGCUUUAUCCUUACACAGAAAAAUAGAUGUUUGCUGUUGUAUUGAUGUACAAAAUGUCAUAUAUUCAACAUGAAAACAGAAGAUGCUCUGCGCACAGCAGUGCUUCUCUCCUGGGUGCUGCAGGUACAGGGCAAACCACAGUAGGCCAUGAAAGAAAUCAAUAUUUCAGCACAAUACAAGA